rnacentral:sRNA from 1 species
GUUUCGCGUGAAGGAUAGUAGUGAAAAUCCUUUUUUGCCGGGAUUGCGCGUGUUUCAAACCAUACUGCUGAUGGCAAAAAAGAUUGCAGCGGAUAGCCUGACCCGCA